rnacentral:lncRNA from 1 species
CUUCCUCACAUCGUUUAUCCUCUAAGCAGGCAGGGACCAUUCGCCAAAGAGGUUUUGGUCCAGGCUUAAGCUUGCUGUCUGUGGCUUCUCUAUCCCACACAAAGAAAAAAAGAAACAAAAUUACCAGCCUUGCCCACAAAGGAUCCAUAACUUUAGGUUUCUUCACAGUGGCUCUCCACCUAGGCCCAUAUCUUUCUUCCUCAUAUAUGGCUGCCUCUUCCUCUAAUUCCUCCUCCUCGGACUCUGACAACUCUUGCUCAGAGUCACUGCCAGCCAGUUCUAAGGCUUCUAAUUCUUUUAAUGGAUACAAAGUAUCCUCUCCGGAUGACUUGUACUUCGUCCUCCGGGGCACUCUUAUUUUUUCCUCCAGCGGCAUUUCUUCUGCCUUUUGUAUUUCUUUCACUUUUGUUUUAGUAACCUUUUUCUUUUUGCGAGCUCCUAAUUUCUCACUCUGCUCCAUUUCUGCCUCUGCUCCGUUUCUGACAUGCUCUCUUAAAUCCAAAAAGGGGCAUGCCUCUCGAAGCCUAAUUUCUCACUCUGCUCCGUUUCUGACAUGCUCUCUUCCAAAAAGUGGCAUGCCUCUCGAAGCUUACCUUUUAAUUUACCUUCUCGCAGUUCUGAAUCCUCUUCAGCACACUGAAGGGUCCCCUGGCACCGGCGAUGUUGGUUCCCGGGUCUCGGCACCACUUGUCGCGCGCCCAAUGUCCCGCCAGCAAGAACGACGCGUGGCAACAGGAUUCUUCUGCGAGCAAGCCUUUACUGUGUUACAGCUCUUCUUAGUGUUACAGCUCUUCUCAGUGUUACAGCUCUCUUGAACAGGGACCCCGAGCAGCAAAAUCGCUCGGCUUAU